rnacentral:rRNA from 1 species
CGGGACACGUGGUAUCCUGUCUGAAUAUGGGGGGACCAUCCUCCAAGGCUAAAUACUCCUGACUGACCGAUAGUGAACCAGUACCGUGAGGGAAAGGCGAAAAGAACCCCGGCGAGGGGAGUGAAAAAGAACCUGAAACCGUGUACGUACAAGCAGUGGGAGCACAGGUUUACCUGUGUGACUGCGUACCUUUUGUAUAAUGGGUCAGCGACUUAUAUUCUGUAGCAAGGUUAACCGAAUAGGGGAGCCGGAGGGAAACCGAGUCUUAAUUGGGCGUUAAGUUGCAGGGUAUAGACCCGAAACCCGGUGAUCUAGCCAUGGGCAGGUUGAAGGUUGGGUAACACUAACUGGAGGACCGAACCGACUAAUGUUGAAAAAUUAGCGGAUGACCUGUGGCUGGGGGUGAAAGGCCAAUCAAACCGGGAGAUAGCUGGUUCUCCCCGAAAGCUAUUUAGGUAGCGCCUCGUGAAUUCAUCUCCGGGGGUAGAGCACUGUUUCGGCUAGGGGGCCAUCCCGGCUUACCAACCCGAUGCAAACUGCGAAUACCGGAGAAUGUUAUCACGGGAGACACACGGCGGGUGCUAACGUCCGUCGUGAAGAGGGAAACAACCCAGACCGCCAGCUAAGGUCCCAAAGUCAUGGUUAAGUGGGAAACGAUGUGGGAAGGCCCAGACAGCCAGGAUGUUGGCUUAGAAGCAGCCAUCAUUUAAAGAAAGCGUAAUAGCUCACUGGUCGAGUCGGCCUGCGCGGAAGAUGUAACGGGGCUAAACCAUGCACCGAAGCUGCGGCAGCGACACUGUGUGUUGUUGGGUAGGGGAGCGUUCUGUAAGCCUGCGAAGGUGGCCUGUGAGGGUUGCUGGAGGUAUCAGAAGUGCGAAUGCUGACAUAAGUAACGAUAAAGCGGGUGAAAAGCCCGCUCGCCGGAAGACCAAGGGUUCCUGUCCAACGUUAAUCGGGGCAGGGUGAGUCGACCCCUAAGGCGAGGCCGAAAGGCGUAGUCGAUGGGAAACGGGUUAAUAUUCCCGUACUUGGUGUUACUGCGAAGGGGGGACGGAGAAGGCUAUGUUGGCCGGGCGACGGUUGUCCCGGUUUAAGCGUGUAGGUGUGUGUUCCAGGUAAAUCCGGUUCACUUUAACACUGAGGCGUGACGACGAGGCACUACGGUGCUGAAGCAACAAAUGCCCUGCUUCCAGGAAAAGCCUCUAAGCAUCAGGUAACAUCAAAUCGUACCCCAAACCGACACAGGUGGUCAGGUAGAGAAUACCAAGGCGCUUGAGAGAACUCGGGUGAAGGAACUAGGCAAAAUGGUGCCGUAACUUCGGGAGAAGGCACGCUGACACGUAGGUGAAGUGAUUUACUCAUGGAGCUGAAGUCAGUCGAAGAUACCAGCUGGCUGCAACUGUUUAUUAAAAACACAGCACUGUGCAAACACGAAAGUGGACGUAUACGGUGUGACGCCUGCCCGGUGCCGGAAGGUUAAUUGAUGGGGUCAGCGCAAGCGAAGCUCCUGAUCGAAGCCCCGGUAAACGGCGGCCGUAACUAUAACGGUCCUAAGGUAGCGAAAUUCCUUGUCGGGUAAGUUCCGACCUGCACGAAUGGCGUAAUGAUGGCCAGGCUGUCUCCACCCGAGACUCAGUGAAAUUGAACUCGCUGUGAAGAUGCAGUGUACCCGCGGCAAGACGGAAAGACCCCGUGAACCUUUACUAUAGCUUGACACUGAACAUUGAGCCUUGAUGUGUAGGAUAGGUGGGAGGCUUUGAAGUGUGGACGCCAGUCUGCAUGGAGCCGACCUUGAAAUACCACCCUUUAAUGUUUGAUGUUCUAACGUGGACCCGUUACCCGGGUUGCGGACAGUGUCUGGUGGGUAGUUUGACUGGGGCGGUCUCCUCCUAAAGAGUAACGGAGGAGCACGAAGGUUGGCUAAUCCUGGUCGGACAUCAGGAGGUUAGUGCAAUGGCAUAAGCCAGCUUGACUGCGAGCGUGACGGCGCGAGCAGGUGCGAAAGCAGGUCAUAGUGAUCCGGUGGUUCUGAAUGGAAGGGCCAUCGCUCAACGGAUAAAAGGUACUCCGGGGAUAACAGGCUGAUACCGCCCAAGAGUUCAUAUCGACGGCGGUGUUUGGCACCUCGAUGUCGGCUCAUCACAUCCUGGGGCUGAAGUAGGUCCCAAGGGUAUGGCUGUUCGCCAUUUAAAGUGGUACGCGAGCUGGGUUUAGAACGUCGUGAGACAGUUCGGUCCCUAUCUGCCGUGGGCGCUGGAGAACUGAGGGGGGCUGCUCCUAGUACGAGAGGACCGGAGUGGACGCAUCACUGGUGUUCGGGUUGUCAUGCCAAUGGCACUGCCCGGUAGCUAAAUGCGGAAGAGAUAAGUGCUGAAAGCAUCUAAGCACGAAACUUGCCCCGAG